rnacentral:lncRNA from 1 species
CCACACCUUUUCUAUAGCUUCAAUCAUAUUUACAAAAUAAAAAACUAAAAAUUUUUUACUGCAAGAAUGAGUCUAAUAUUGACUAGGUGUAUGAUUUUAGAAAGAUUUGCUUUAUGCUUUGAAGUAAAUAGUCUCUCUAUUCAUAUAACAUUACUUGAGUUAAAAGUUUCAAAUAAAAUCAUUUGCUCAAACUAUCAGGGAUGUUUUAAGGCAUGGGCCAACUGGGCCUGGGCCCAGGGCCUCGACUUCAGAGGGGCCUUGUCUUGGAUCAAUAAGAUCAUGAUGUGAAUAAUUUUAAUUGGCAAAUGUUAUUCUCGGACAUUUUCUCCAAAAAAACUAGGAAUUUCCAACUAUAUGCUAAUUGGCAACAGUAGCAAGACUGCAUUAUGAUGUCAUGUCCAUCGUCCGUGUCUAGGCCUAGUCCUACAGCCAUACAACAUCAUUACUCAUUUAGUCGAAAAGCAGUAAAAAAUACGAGGAGGUAUUUGAACUGUUUGAGUUUUUGAAAAUAUUUGUAAUUUGUAUGAGAGCAAAAUUAAAAUAGCAUGUGAGAAAAUAUUGAAAUUUUAUGAUAUUCAUGGGGAGGAACUGAAUUUGGAAUGUCAACAUUUCAAGUCAUAUCUAAUCAUUGAUGGCGAAAAACUGAAGAAAAAAUAAAGAGAAGACAUGGAAAAAAGAAAGAUUCAUAAGAAAUAUAAUUUUAUAAAUACGGAUGACGAUGAAGAAUAGUUGUUGGAUGAGAAGAUUGGGAUUGGUAUCAACACACUCUAUACAUACAUGUAUAAUGAAAGACUAUUCACAGUGUUCCCAAAUAUUGAAUUAGUAAUGAGAAUUUUCUUGUCGAUGAUGAUUACUAACACAAGUGGUGAGCGUUCAUUUUCAAAACUCAAACUGGU